ensembl:lincRNA
AUGGCCGAAGAACCACGGACGCACCUCGCAGGAGGAGAUGGGGUAAUGAAUCCAGAGGAAAAAAAGAUUCUCUACCUUUCGGGCCCAAGAAGGGGCACCGGACAGAUUACUCUGGGGUGUUUUACCGCAAGCGAAGUAGAGGAAAGAAAGGAGCAAGUGAGCAUUGAGAACCCUCCCGGAGGCCACAGACUGCGGCGGGCCUGGGGUGGUGACAGCUGCCCGGAAAGCAGAGGGAGGUCUCAGGAGGCAUCUAGAGGACACUGGUGUCUGCAAGAGCGAGGGGCGCGGGGCAGCACCCGGGGCACCUGCGCUGGGAACAGCUCUCCCGCCCGCCGUGCACGGACACCCUGGAGACCCACGGGCUCCUUGGGCGGGAGCGGUGCAGGCCACACCGCUGCGUCUAGUUCCUAGGACACCGGGCGGGACAGGCCAGGGUGCUCUCGGGGCCUGUACGCAGACCCGUGGAGGGAAACAUUUCAGACUCAAAGCUUGUUCCGUCCAGAGCCCAGGGGAGCCCCGUCCUCUCCACGACACCCCAGGCCCAGGCUUCUGCCAGGGGCUGUGCUCACACUCUGCGCUGGGUCUCGCCUGCAGUAGCUUCUCUCAGCCACCCCCGUGCGCCAGGACCCUGCGCUCCUCUGUCCUGUCACAGCUGCAGUGACAAAGGUCCCAGCGUGCGCUGCUCUUCCUCCUUGGGCCAGCUCGUCUCCAGCUCCGCUCCCCUCAAUGGCUGUGGGCCCCUCCCAGCCACACUCCCUCCCCCGCCUUGGGUGUGAACACCCAGGGGCCCAGCACGGGCGUCUGGAGGGCAGCUCUCAGUGCCUGUCACCUAGAUUUCAUAGAUGACCCAGAGUUCCACGCAGAAGUCACAGGCUCACAGGGCUCCAGGAGGCCGUGGGCAAGGCAGCAGGCACGAUGGGGGGCGUGGUGAGCUCGGGCCCAGGGGGUCUGACAUGCCGUGCGGACCCCGCUUCGCAGGAGGCUUUGUUCCCUUCAAGUGCAGCUGCAGGCGGAGUUGGGCAUCGCUCUGUGAGCUGCAGGCCUCCAACGGUGGCUCCUGGGGUUCCUGAAGGGCCACGGGGCUCAGCACGGUUGUCCCGGGCGGGGAAGGCAGCACCCACAUGCUGAGGGAGGCCUCCCUCAGCUCAAGGGUGCGGACGGCCUUUCUAUAACGCUCUGAGCAUGAGCCUACAUCCUUGCCACGUAAGGCACCGAGCGCGUCUGGCGUGGACUGAAGCCACACUGGGUUCUGCAGGACGGCCGGCAGCGCCCACAUCGAGGGAGAACGCCCUGCUUGUGUGGAGCUUUGGCACGACUGUGCAUGGGUUCCUGAGACGGCACCUGUGGGCGUGGGGCUGCUUGAGGGUCUGGGUAUCUUCACGGCGCCGGGGCCACCACGGGGAUUCUCAGUGCCAACUGUGGACACACGGUCAUGAAAUUCCUGCACCAUCUCCGGCUGCUUCCUCCAGGCCCGGGCAGCAGGGUCGUUGGCCAUGCAGGGCACCUGGCUGCCCUGCCCCUGUCCUUCCAGGCUGUCCGGGGCGAGUGUGAACACCGCGUUCCCCGACUCCCCGCCGGGGCAGCGGGCGAGGUCUGGCGCGGGGCACAGCUGUGUCUGAACCGAUCUGCAUGUCUCUGGCGGGGACGCUGUGUCUGACGGUAUCCACAGGAAGUUCCCGCCACUAGGGAACACCUCUUUGUUCUUUAGGCACCUGUAAGAGGAGGCCGCCAUGCCCUCCUGCAGUGACCGAGCUGUGGGCGACACCGCCCGCCCUUCUGUCCCUCCAGCCCAUCCAGUGCGUCUGGGGCCGAUUUCACGUAUCCUGUCCCCUCUGUUGGAAGCGCCAACUGGGGUGCUUGUUUUCUUUGACUGGGUGGGAUUGACAGAGGGUGUGACACUGAAUUUUUAGAUUUAAGUGUAUGGUGCAUUUUUUUACCAUAAGUUUUUCACUUAAGAUCAUCAAAGGACCCUUGCACAUAACGCUUUCAAAAAUGGGUGCAUUGUGUGCCUCAGAGCUGAGACAGGCAGGGCCGCUGCCCGGGGGCUGAGAAUGACUG